GACGAACGCUGGCGGCAUGCCUAACACAUGCAAGUCGAGCGAGCGGCGGACGGGUGAGUAAUGUCUGGGAAACUGCCUGAUGGAGGGGGAUAACUACUGGAAACGGUAGCUAAUACCGCAUACCAUCAGAUGUGCCCCGAUGGGAUUAGCUAGUUGGUGGGGUAACGGCUCACCUGGGCGACGAUCCCUAGCUGGUCUGAGAGGAUGACCAGCCACACUGGAACUGAGACACGGUCCAGACUCCUACGGGAGGCAGCAGUGGGGAAUAUUGCACAAUGGGCGCAAGCCUGAUGCAGCCAUGCCGCGUGUAUGAAGAAGGCCUUCGGGUUGUAAAGUACUUUCAGCGAGGAGGCGUUACUCGCAGAAGAAGCACCGGCUAACUCCGUGCCAGCCGCCGCGGUAAUUC
rnacentral:rRNA from 1 species